UACGUAGGGGGCUAGCGUUGUCCGGAUUUAUUGGGCGUAAAGAGCGUGUAGGCGGCCAGAUAGGUCUGCUGUGAAAACUCGAGGCUCAACCUCGAGCUGUCGGCGGAAACCAUCCGGCUAGAGUCCGGAAGAGGAGAGUGGAAUUCCCGGUGUAGCGGUGAAAUGCGCAGAUAUCGGGAAGAACACCUGUGGCGAAGGCGGCUCUCUGGGACGGUACUGACGCUGAGACGCGAAAGCGUGGGGAGCGAACAGG
rnacentral:rRNA from 1 species